AGGAGGUGGAGGAGGAGGUCAGGGAAAGGAGACUUCCUCUUCCUCUGCAAUGGCGGGUUCAGCUGCGCCGCCGCUUGUAGCGGUUGUGAAAGAUGAGCUUUAUGCUGCGAGCUAGGCGGCGUCGGCUGCCCCGCCGCUUGUAGCGGUUGUGAAAGAUGAGCUUUAUGCUGCGAGCUAUGAGCAGCAGGAGGUGAAGAGAUAUGAUAAAAGGUGUAAUGUGUGGAAUAAAGUUGGGAACUUGCCGGAGAGAGCUUCUUCGAUGAACGGUUGGGGGAUGGCGUUUAGGGCUUGUGGGGAUCAGUUGGUAGUUGUUGGAGGGCCUAGGACAUUGGGAGGAGGGUUUAUAGAGAUCAAUGCUUGUGUCCCAAGGGAGGGUGAGUCUCUGCAUUGGAGAGUUCUUGCUUCAAAGCCAUCAGGAAGCUUUGUGUAUAAUUGUGCUGUUAUGGGAUGUUGAUGAAGACUUGAGAGCCAAGCUAUUGACUUGUUUAUUAGGGUUCUUACAUGUUGGUUUCUUUUCAUGAUUGGGGUCAAAGAGUUUAUGUUCUCUUCGUUGUCUUUGUUGGGGUUAUUGUUGUUCAGAUAGAACCUGGAA
rnacentral:lncRNA from 1 species